CACCCUCUCCCUGAAACGGUGUCGUUUCACGCCCAUCCACCGUCGUCUUCCUCUGGAAACAGAGGAAGCCACCGGUGAAGAAUAAAACAAAACGCUGCCCAGAUGGGCAGCCCAACACAAGCCAAAUUUAGCCUACCAAGGUCCCCAAUCCAAACAGACUUCCUCCCGGACACGCUACUGGAAUCCGGGCCAAGGUCUACCACCAACAGUCCAGGCAUACUGUUCGCGUCGGUGUCUUAGCAGGAAACUAACUCCCCAAGCCAGGCUUAUCAGGAGGAGAGACGUAGGUUG
rnacentral:lncRNA from 1 species